UACACUUGGGUUGUGUCAUUUAAUGUAUAAAUGAAACAAGGAGAGAGAAAUUGAGGGUUGACAUAAUAAAAUAUAAAGCAAUUUAAUCAACAGCACGCUUGUGAUGGGAAAGUUAGCUUGAAAGACCCGUUUUACACAACUGCAAACAUCUCCGGAUUUCAUUUUAUCAAUUUCGAUAGUAUUGCUUAUUUAAAUAAGUAUACUAGAUGCAUCAUUUUCAUACCCACUCGCUUCAUUGUCUUGGAUGUCCUUGCUACAAAAAUCAUCAUCAAGCAUAUUGUAUUUACACGUGUACUGAAAUUAUAUUUAUCAACGCUUCUCUAUUUUAAAAAUAUUCGUACUAAACUAUCAGUAAAAAAGUGAACUUUGUACGAAAUAGUAUUUUUUUUUAUGUUGCAUACAACGUAUAUGACACUAGUGUACUCGUUUAUAGACGUCUAGUACGUCAUUCGAAUUCGUUCAAUACCAAAAUAUCUGUUGAAUUUAUUAGAUUAUAAAUUUUAUCUUUAAAAGAUAAAUUGAAGUCCUUAAUUUUAGUCAUAAAAAUAUCUUUACGAAAAUAUUAAUUUUACUUUAAUAGUUUUUUAAUCCUGUAUGAGUACAACUUCUUAUUCAUUAAAUUUAAUUUGAAGUCUUAAUUGUAUUCAUAAACAAAAGUAUAGUAACCUGGAGAAAAGUGACGAAUGGGGUAAGAUGAACUAUUAUUAAUAAAUUAUUUAGAUUUUAAAAUAUGGUCAAAUUGUUUAAUUUUAAUGAAUUUACUAUAAUCAUUAGAAAAUUGAUAAUGUUUGGUACUAUGGGUGCUGCAAAUGUGACCUGCCCAAAUAGGUUUUAUCUUAUAGGUAAUGUGCAGUGGCCUACGAAAUUACAUUUUUAUUAUUUUAUAGAAGUUCUUUCUUCGCAGACAUCUAUACUGUAAUUAGCGUAUGUGUUAUUGUCCCUUAAGUUUCACGUAAUUAUAAUUGUUUGUGCGCUAAUAUAAUGUUCAAUGUAAUAAGUACAUUCAAGCAUUUCUUAUAAUAAUGGAGUUUCUAGAUUAAAUUAAAGGAUAAUUCGUAUACAAUUGUUAGCGUUAGGUCUGGUCGCAUGUAUAUGUAUAUGUAUAUAUAUUUUCAAUACUUAUAAUUCGUUUUGCAUUGUUUGGUUGCUUUUAAUGACGAAUGAUAGAUCAAAUCAAAAUCAAUCUACUGAGGAGCGCCAAAUCAGAUAAAAUGGUCUAAUGAAUGUAUAAUUAUUAUUUUAUUCAUAGCAUAAAUAUAUUUAUGUAAUUAUUUAAAUUACUAACGCUUGAGUAAUACCAAAAAUUGUUAUUACUGCAUAAACUGAUAGUAAUCAAUGAUUUAAUAAAUUACAGUCCACGAGAAAUUUUUAUUUAUUACUUUAAAUUUUACCUAUUAUAAAUACGAAGUCUAACUAGCUUAGUUAGACUAAACAAUUAGCUUAAUUGUCGUCCGAGUAGUUAAGUCGAACAGAUAAACACUUAGGAGUUUGACCAUAUUUUAAAAUCUAAAUAAUUUAUUGAUAAUAGUUCAUUUUACUCCAUUCGUCAUCAGUCUGAAAUAGAAUGUAUAAAGUAUGAAACGCAUAAAUCUUUUCUGUAUCAUGAUGAUAUGAAAUACUAUGCAAAUAUUAUUGUAAAAUAAAUAAAUGAUAUUUGUUAGAAAGAUCACUCUUCCGGAACAAUAGACUCAAUAAACUGAGCAAACUGUUGCGAUAGAUCUAACAACACUUACCAACUUUCAAGUGUGGGUUGUGUGCUCACAAGAAAAUUCAUUAGAUGCCACUUGAAUACGAGUUUUGGUUAUCAUUUAGUAAACGAAAACUAUUCUAGUUAUUCAAAAUACAGCUAAUCAAUAAAAAGGGUGAUGAAGAAAUCUAAGUAUAUGCAAGCUUAGAAGAAUUAAUUAAACUUACAAAAUCUGAUGACAACAUAAUCGACAUGAGAGAUUUCAAUGCAAAUGUUGAAGAAGGAACAUAUGGACAAUUAAGAAAUCAAGUAAAUAGAAAAACCUGGCUAGAGGAGCAAUGUAAAUAAACUGAAACAUUUUUUAAAAAUAAUCAAUACAGUUCAUGCCUAUCGUAAGAUUUUUAAAGUGGUUAGAAUAAAAAACAAGCUGACAAAACUGGGAAUUAAGGGAAUAACAGACAAAGAUAAUAUUAAAAUUAGAAUUUAAUUUUAAAACAGUAGUCAAAUGGUAAAAAAUGCUUUCUUUAAGUUCACAAGAGACAUAUAUAAGCAGAGAAAUGUUCCAGAUUCAGAACGACAUUAGAAUACUGCACUUAUAAUACAGACAUCAAAUAGCUGAAAUUAAAAAAGAUGAGGCAAAAGAAAAUGGUAAAAAAAUUAAUACAGCAAGAUUGCACUUUAUCACCACUUUUAUUCAAUUGAUAAAUAGCAAAAAAUAAUUGAAACAGUAAAGAAAAAACUAAUGAGACAGUACAUUGGAGUUAAAGUUAGAGACGAAAACAUAUCUAUGAUACUUUUCGCUAACGAAAUAGUAAUAAUAAAUGAGAGUGACGGAAAUAAAUGCUGUAUAUUUCUACAUUAUUAGCUAUCAACGAAAUUGAAGAGAUGCUUAGUCCUAUCGGAAUGAAAAUCAAUAAAAUAAAACUAAGAUACUAAUUUUCACAAAAAAAAACCAGAAAUAUAUAUGUUGAUAAAUAUCUAGAUAAGUAUAAACUUGACCAAGUAUACGAAUUUCCAUAUUUAGGGAGUAUUAUUAAAACAGAUGGAAAGUGCACAAGAUAAAUCACGGGAUACAUAGAAAUAGCAAAAUCAGCGUUCAUAAAUAAAUUUAAAUUAAUUACCUAAAAGAAAUAGAAUCUCAACCUUAGGAAAAUUUUCAUUAAAACUUAGGUUUGGAAUAUAGAAAAGGAGUACGACUGUGAAACAUAAGUUAAAAAAGUAACUAAAAUAAAAGAAUUAGGGUCGUAUGAGAAAUUAUUCUAAAGACACAUGCAAAAAAUAAGUUGGGAGGAACGAAUAUGUACUGGAAAUAAUUGGCAAGGAAUGUGUACUAAUAGACUUGAUUAGGAAGAGAAGAUGGAAAAUAAUGGGACACACACUAAGACAUCCAGAGGAACUACACAGCACAAUACUAAAAAAUGUGAUCGAAGGAAAAAGAACACCUGGGUGACCUUGCAACACAUUUAUUGGAUACAUAAAAAAAUAUGCAAGAAUUAGAAGCUUUAGAGCUCUUAAAUAAAUAGCAAGUGAUCAUGAAAAUGGAGAAGACAAGUGGCAAACCACAACAAAUUUUUUUAACCUACAGAUUAAAAAAAAUUCAUAAUAACUAAUGUGAACAAAAUAUAAAAAAUAAAUAUUUAUAAAGAAGUUGUAGGAAAUUAUAAGAUCUUAUGUUUUGAAAACUUAAUGAUCAGUAAUUAUCAGUAAAUAAUUAAAUACUUCAUCUAAUUCAUGGAUAUCUAUCAAAUAGAGCCCUAGUCAUAAGGUACUAACUAAUAGCACAUUAUGAAUCUACAUUCAGAAUAAAAAAUUUUAUGUAUGGAACUUUAAGCAAACCUCAAAUUAGUAUUCUAAUUUUUUUACAUUUAAUACAACACCGGUAAAUAACCAAAACAUUUUGGCAAGAACGGUUGGUUAUAAAAUGAAUUACUUAUAAAUUAAAUGCGCUCUCCUUAAAUAUAUGAAAGUUCGCAAAGAACUUUAUCAAUCUAAGACUGCAAUUUUUUACAUCAACGCUAUUUAAAUGAGGUUUUCCAACCAAAAUUAAAAUAAAAUAGGUAAAAAAAAAAACACGUAGAGGAAAAACAAAUUGUAAGUAUUAUUCAAAAGCCAAAUAAU